rnacentral:rRNA from 1 species
AACGAACGCUGGCGGCAGGCCUAACACAUGCAAGUCGAGCGGACCUUUCGGGGUCAGCGGCGGACGGGUGAGUAACGCGUGGGAAUAUGCCCUUCUCUACGGAAUAGUCCUGGGAAACUGGGGGUAAUACCGUAUACGCCCUUUGGGGGAAAGAUUUAUCGGGGUAGGAUUAGCCCGCGUUGGAUUAGGUAGUUGGUGGGGUAAUGGCCUACCAAGCCGACGAUCCAUAGCUGGUUUGAGAGGAUGAUCAGCCACACUGGGACUGAGACACGGCCCAGACUCCUACGGGAGGCAGCAGUGGGGAAUCUUAGACAAUGGGGGCAACCCUGAUCUAGCCAUGCCGCGUGAGUGAUGAAGGCCUUAGGGUUGUAAAGCUCUUUCAGCUGGGAAGAUAAUGACGGUACCAGCAGAAGAAGCCCCGGCUAACUCCGUG